GCCGUUUCCGUUGCUAUCCAUGCGGACUGAAAAUCCGCGUGUCGCCAGUUCGAUUCUGGCCCUUGGCACCA
rnacentral:tRNA from 1 species